ACGUGCGAUCAUACCAGCGUUAUUGAACUGGAUCCCAUCAUAACUUCGCAGUUCAGCGUGCUUGGGUUAGAGUAGUACUAGGAUGGGUGAGCUCCCGUGAAGUCCUAGUGGUGAACCCU
rfam:Picea glauca, whole genome shotgun sequence.